rnacentral:rRNA from 1 species
CGCCGGCGGCGUGCUUAAUACAUGCAAGUCGAACGAAGAGCCCUUAACCGAAGAUGAUGACGUGCUUGCACUGAAUCUGAUUCACCUUAGGGUUACUGAGUGGCGGACGGGUGAGUAACGCGUGGGUAACCUGCCUUAGACAGGGGGAUAACAUCAAGAAAUUGGUGCUAAUACCGCAUAUGCUCACAGUAUCGCAUGAUACAGUGAGGAAAACUCCGGUGGUCUAAGAUGGACCCGCGUCUGAUUAGCUAGUUGGAGGGGUAACGGCCCACCAAGGCGACGAUCAGUAGCCGACUUGAGAGAGUGAUCGGCCACAUUGGGACUGAGACACGGCCCAAACUCCUACGGGAGGCAGCAGUAGGGAAUAUUGCACAAUGGGGGAAACCCUGAUGCAGCGACGCCGCGUGAAGGAUGAAGUAUUUCGGUAUGUAAACUUCUAUCAGCAAGGAAGAAAAUGACGGUACUUGACUAAGAAGCCCCGGCUAAAUACGUGCCAGCCGCCGC